rnacentral:lncRNA from 1 species
AGAUUUCAUGUCCCUAUUUCCAUUCCUCUUUUUUACUAAAGCAUUUUUGCAGAUGGAAUUCAGACCCUUUCCAUAGUGAAGCUUUAGUUUGUCUUUUUUCCGAUUAAUAGAAGGACAAAUAAUUUGUUUUGAACCUUGCUAGCAUAAAGUCUUAUUUUUAUUUCAAUCCAUUUAUCAGGAUGGAUAAAAAGACAUACCAUCAGUCCUUUGGUUCUCUAGCCAAGUUUUAAUUGCAGGGAGAGCUAUAGCUCCAAAUGAAGAUUAACGAUUUGGCAUUACCGGUCAAGGAUAAGGUCUUGAAACUCGGUUGAUUAGAGAGUAGAUCUUGGUAAGGAUAGUAAGCAUGACUCCGGUCUUGGGGAAUAAGAGUCAGAGUUCAACCUACUUGAAAGCGGUCUUUAGCCAAUGAAAUCGGGGCAGACAUGCCGAUAUAAUCUCUUAGAGGAAGGUAAUAAGAUGGUAUGGUUUCUGCGGCAUUAAGAGUUGGGGUUAUCUUACAAGGAAGCUUAGUCCCGCGAGGGGAUUCAUCAAAAUAAAGUCAUUCAAGAGAAAAGAUUGUGCUAUUUCCUUAGCUAGCUUGUGUUGGAAACACGUUCUCAAUGCAAUAUACUAAAACGUGUGUUCUUUUGUAUAGGUUUU